GCCUGGGUGGCUCAGUUGGUUAACCAUCUGACUUUGGCUCAGGUCAUGAUCUCAUGGCUUGUGAGUUUGAGCCCCACCUCAGGCU
rnacentral:tRNA from 1 species